GGGAGACAGAACAUGAAAGACUCCUAACUCUGGGAAAUGAACUAGGGGUGGUGGAAGGGGAGGUGGGCGGGGGUUGGUGGUGGGGGUGACUGGGUGGCGGGCUCUGAGGUGGGCACUUGAUGGGAUGAGCCCUCGGUGUUAUUCUGUAUGCUGACAAAUUGAACACCAAUAAAAAAUAAAUUUAUUAAAAAGAAAAGAAAGGAAAUACUUGAACUGGUUCAGAAUAUUAAGAAAGGGAAUCAAAAGGUACAGGGAGGAGGUUACAAUGAAUUUUUCCCCAAGAUCAGAGAACCUCCCACCUAAAUAAGGAGGUAGUGUCCUCUGGGCUCUUCUAAGAGACAAGGCAAUAAAAGAAUCCAUUAGGGAGACAACAUCAUUGGUAAAUGGUCUUUUAUAAUUAAAGUUUGACAGGAGAUGCUGCUACGCAAUUAGGUUUCUAGCAUCAGUGAGGAUAGGAGGAUUAUACACUGGUCAGGAGGCAGCAUUUUACCUCCUGACUUCACAUCUGAUGGUAAUUGCUGUAACAAACAGCAAGGUCUAAGUGGUCCUCAGGAUAUCUUAAUCCACAGAGAUCUGUGGCACUGGCUAAUCCAUGGCAUUUUAGAGGGGAAAUAGAUGGGCAAUAAAGGUAUUUCCUCAUUCAUACAACUAGAAAAAGUGUUUAAGGGCUAAAAAUUAAGUCUGAUGUCAGUAUUAUAAUGAAAGUCUAUGCAAUUUUCAGGUCUCAGCCAUAGGUAAUAUUUGAGAAGGAGUCUUCUUGAGCAAAGGCCUACAAUAUCAUCAAAAAGGCCUGGGGUAAUGAGAAGGAGGAAGACCAGCUGAGGGAGGACCCUUGUAUCUGUAUCUUUUCCUCUUGUGAUGGAGGAGGUGGAAGUCACAGGAGGAUGAUAUGGAAAUGUGGCAAGUUCCUGAAGAGAGUUGUCCAGAAUCCUCCUGGGAAUGACUGAAGCUGUCACCAGGUAAACUUGCAUUGCAGCUUAACUUCUCCCUUCACUCAAUUUUCCUUCCCUAAAGUUGUCA
rnacentral:lncRNA from 12 species